GCAGAGUAGCCGAAGCGCGUAAAGUGUUGCGAAACGGGACGUUGUUCGCAAACGAAAGGGAAUUUAGCCCCUGCGGUGCUGUUCGGCGCGUCCGU
rnacentral:ncRNA from 2 species